AAGCUCGUAGUUGAMAUUGUGUUCCGCGGCGUCUGUCUGCCUUUGCGGUACGACGGGCGCGUCUGCGGGAUUUCUCGCCGGUGCGUGUUCUCCGCCGAGGCGCGGGGCAUUCUAUGCGUCGCGCCGAGGCGGGCCCUCGCGGCUGUUUACUUUGAACAAAUUAGAGUGCUCAAAGCGGGCUUAUAUUUGCCUGAAUAUUGUGCGCAUGGAAUAAUAGAAUAGGACCUCGGUUCUGUUUUGUUGGCUUUCUGAUACCGGAGGUAAUGAUUAAUAGGGACAACUGGGGGCAUUCGUAUUGCGACGUUAGAGGUAAAUUCUUGGAUCGUCGCAAGACGGACUAAAGCGAAAGCAUUUGCCAAAGGUGUUUUCAUUAAUCAAGAACGAAAGUUAGAGGUUCGAAGGCGAUUAGAUACCGCUGUAGUUCUAACCAUAAAUGUUGCCAGCCAGCGAUCCGCCGUAGUUUCUCAUUUUUGACUCGGUGGGCAGCUCCCGGGAANCCAAAGCU
rnacentral:rRNA from 1 species